AUCUAGCUGACGAGUCCCAAACAGGACGAAACGCGCGUUCUGGAU
rfam:Schistosoma mansoni strain Puerto Rico chromosome 2, complete genome